rnacentral:rRNA from 1 species
UACGAGGGGGGCAAGCGUUGUUCGGAAUUAUUGGGCGUAAAGGGUGCGUAGGCGGUCUGACAAGUCUGAUGUGAAAUCUAUGGGCUCAACCCAUAGUCUGCAUCGGAAACUGUCGGGCUUGAGUAUGGGAGAGGUGAGUGGAAUUUCCGGUGUAGCGGUGAAAUGCGCAGAUAUCAGGAAGAACACCCGUGGCUAAGGCGGCUCUCUAGUACGGUACUGACGCUGAGACGCGAAAGCGUGGGGAGCGAACAGG